UGAGGAAUAUUGGGCAAUGCCCGCAAGGGUGACCCAGCAACGCCGCGUGGAGGAUGAAUGUCGUAAGAUUGUAAACUCCUGUUAGAGGGGAAGAAUAGUACCGGUUGGACCGGUAUAUGACUGUACCCUCAGAGAAAGCCCCGGCUAACUACGUGCCAGCAGCCGCGGUAAUACGUAGGGGGCAAGCGUUGUCCGGAUUUACUGGGUGUAAAGGGCGCGCAGGCGGGAUAAAAAGUCAGUGGUGAAAUCCUACAGCUUAACUGUAGAACUGCCUUUGAUACUUUUAUUCUUGAGAUCGGGAGAGAGAGACGGAAUUCCAGGUGUAGUGGUGAAAUACGUAGAUAUCUGGAAGAACACCAGUUGCGAAGGCGGUCUCUUGGUCCGACACUGACGCUGAGGCACGAAAGCGUGGGGAGCAAACA
rnacentral:rRNA from 1 species